rnacentral:misc_RNA from 1 species
GCCACCGAAUCCCGCGGUCUCUCAGCUGAGGCCCCCCCCCCCUCCCCAACGCAGCGGGGUGCCCUUAGCUUCCAUACACGACCCCCCCCCCCAUACACGCCUGCGCUUUAUCUGUUUUGCUUCCCGCCUACCGUCACCUCGUUUCUGGCCCUCGUCGGCUCCCACCUUCGUCGUUGGCUGCUGACCUCUCCGCGUCUGCGGUCCAUCUCCUCCCUCCCCUAGCGCGCGCGUCUGCGUUGAGCCUGUGCGAUGCUUCGGCUGUCCGCCUCCCGCCGGUCGGUACAGAACAUUCUGCACGACAUCCAAGCCGCCGUGGAGUCACGGUCCGUCAUGGCGACCUCGUCCUUUGCGCAGCGGCGCUCUUUCCUGGUCGCCCUCAGCGAGGAGCUGCACCGCAACAGCGAACACAUUAUCCGUGCGAACCGGCGCGACUGCGAUCUCUUCGGGCAGCAGCAACAGCAGCGAGGCACGCCAUCCGUGACGAUACCGCCCAGGCUGCCGAGCACGAGUGCAGUGGCGAGCCUGCAGCCGUCCUCCUCGCUUCACGGGGGGCCCGCUGGGUAUCCGCCCUUUCUCGGUCACCCGGGGCAUCGCGUAGGUGACGCACAGGGUGUCUCCGUGGCAGCGGGGAACCAUGCGACCGCCACGCCCGCGCUGAAUGCCGUUGAAGGCUCUGGCGCGAGCUCACCACGUCGUCAGAGUUCGCUCGAUUACGUGGCGAGCGCGUCCCUGGCUGGAAGUCUGGACCGAAGCGGCGCGGGCGGUACUGCCGCAGGUGGUCGCGUAGCGGCCAGUCCAGCAGGUGCUGGCCCUGCUCUUGGCGAGACUGCAGCAGGGUCGCGAGAGACGAGCACCUCUGGCACCGCAGCCCCUGUCUCGCCGUCGCGGUGGGCUGCCAGGGCGUCGUCAGCAUCGCUGCAGCUGCUGCCGACCGCUGUGUCAGGCCAUGCCACCCGCACAGAAGCCGGUGGUGGAGGCGGGCAUCUUCUCAUCACCCCUGACAACCACUUCCUUAUAUCACCUCUGCGCCUCGACAAGCUGCACACGACCAUUGAAUACCUGCUCUGCCAGCCUGACCCCAUCGCCAUCCCUCCCUCUUGCUGGCUGCACGACUCCGCUGAGGGGGGCAGCGGAGCAGCCGCGAAUUCGCUACGCGGACAGGGCUCCUCAGGUGCGGCUUCUGGUCACAACGCACUCCCGCCGCCCUCGGCGGGAGGGCCGCACGCUGGUUGUGGUCGCUGCACGCGGCAAACGGACCGACUCGAGGUCUAUGAGCUCUCUGUGCCGCUGGGCAUGGUUGGUAUUCUCUCAAGAUUCCGCCCACGCAUCAGCAUCGACGCGGUUGCCAUGGGCCUCUUUGCCGGCAACACCGUCCUCGUGGAUGGUGGGGUGUCGCUCUAUAACACGAAUAUGGCCCUCAUGUCGUCCGUGCGGCGUGCACUGACGACCGCCGGCCUGUCGCCGAACGCAGUGGUGUGCGUGGAGAGCUACGACGCGGCCCACCGCAGCACGAGCGAGUGGCUGCAGCUGUCCGACUACGUGGAUCUUGCUGUCGUGUGCGGACCGCCGAAGCUGUACCAGUUCGCUUCUCGUUACUCCACGAUCCCGCUGAUGCGCGCGACUGGGCAGUUCAGCAGCGUCUACGUGGACCAGAGCGCCUCCUUCGAGGUGGCACUGGAGGUGAUCCUCAACUCCAAGUUUCAGAAGUUGGGCGCCGCCAACGCCGUGACAACCGUCAUCGUCCAUAGCGACUUUCCGCGCUACACGGAGCUUGUGCUGGCCCUCGCUGCUGAAGGCGCCAUGCUGCUGGGCGAUGCCAUCGCUCAAGAGCGCGUGCCGGACUGCGUGUUGGAGCUCGCGAGUGAGGAAGAGUAUCAGGGUCUCUCUCAGUAUGGGCUGCGCGACGCUGCACGCACGCUGUGCAUCAAGACGGUGGACUCGCUCGCUCAGGCGCUCUUCUUCAUCGAGUCCUUCGGCUCCAAGCAGAGCGACUGCAUCGUGGCCACAGACCUGGAGGUGUGCGCCACGUACUGCCGGCAUGUCGACACGGCUGUCGCCCUCGUGAACGCCUCCACACGCCUCUCCAGCGGCGUACCGCUCGGCUGCGGCGUCGACUUUGCCAUCUCCACCUCGAAGACUCACUGCCGCGGCCCACUGACAGUGGAGAUGAUGACGACACGCAAACUUGUUGCUCGAAGUCUCAGCGCUCACCACGGCGCGCUGCGCUGACGUCACCUCAAGGGAGAGAGAGUGAUGGGCGUCUUGGCACCGCUUCCACAGACAUGCUGCUCAUCGGCGUUCCGAGGUGAAGGGCGUGGGCGCGUGCAUGUGUGUGUGUCUGUGUGGGAUGGACAGCACAUGCGCUGCUGUCGACGUAUGUCGCUCGCACUCCAGCGGAUUCGGCCCCAUGCUCAAGUAUUGCUUCCCUCAAGCGCCGGGGGAUGGACGCUGCCCCUCCCUUCCGGGUCUCAGCGCCACUCGGCCGCCGUAUUUCGAAUCGCACAGCAGCGCCUGUCAGCGUCGCUGCUGCUGCUGCUGCGCGCGCACGCGGGUGGCGCGCAUAUCCCCUUCAUCGAUGACGACUGUGGCAUCUCCCUGUUGCGGAGUGCCUUGGCUGUGCUUGUUUCUUCUCGUUUUGAGGCGCCGCCUCCGCUCAUGCGCUUAUUUCUCGCUGUCCCCUCCCCGCCCUCACGGAGCAUGGACCGAGGGAAGAGCGAGUGUCGCCUUCUCGUGAACUCCCCCCCUCUCGUCGCGGGUGCGUGCCAUCACCCACCGUGCGCCUCGCGGAGGCUGGAGGGGACGGGAGGAGGAGGAGGCUGCUGCCUUUGGUACCCCCGCCUCGUCGCCCUGAAGCGCGAGAGUGCCUGUUGGCGGCGAAGUCGUUGCCCCCACGUCUUGUCUUGUGCGCCGCAUUACACCAGUCACGGCGCACAGGCACGAUGGAAGAGGGGAGAGGGCCGAGCGGCACACCAGCGAGCGCUCCGGCGGUGUCGCCCGCCUUUACCACAAACGUUUCUCUAUGCGAUGGGCCGUUGUGUUCCCUGUUUUGCGCCCUGUCGAGCGUCCGUGCUCGAGUGCGGGCGCAGCGCUUUAGCUGUCGCAGGCGCUCGUCACAUCCCCUCACGCACGGCACCUUCUUAGCUGCACCGUGAAGGUGUGCCUCUUGCAGCAUGCAUGACGCAGCGGUGCCCCUUGAGGCGGUGCAGCUUCUCACGCAAGGCGCGCUGUGAGUGCCUGAUCACUCGCCCGCAGGUCGUGUCUCAUGCUCGAUGUCCGUAGCGGUAGGCCCGAGCCGUGAAGACGCGCUGCAACGCUUACUGUGACAUCUUCCGCCGCACCUCUCCGCUGCCGACGGUGCGCUGCCGACCUGCUGCGCGUACGCGCACGCGUCUUUCACAUGGCUCGCUUCUUCCCGUCCUCCGUUGUCACGCACACGCACGCGCACGCAUCAACGUGCGGUCUCGCUCCGCGUGGCAUCCAUCGACUGGAGGGGGCCGAUCACCACAG